AUGCAUUCUAGUUCUGGAAGAAAGUAUGAUUCUGGUGCCUUCAAGCAUAAGAAGAAAAAAUUAGAAGAAGAUGCUGAAAUUCAAAGGGGUGCUCUUGAUAAAUAUGUUGUGAUAGUACCCCAAAAUGGUAAUAUUGAUGAUGGUCACGAUUAUAAUGCAGUAGAGGUUGAGGUUGUCACUGCAGAAAUUCAUGAAGGUGAUCAUGGUCUUGGUGAUAAUGCGCAAGAGGUUGAGGUUGCCGCUACAGAAAUUGAUGAAGGUAAUGAUGUCAAUAUUUUAGAUGAAGAUCAUGAUCCUAAUAUUUCGGAUGACAUGAAUAAUUCCGUUCAGCCUGAUAUAUUUGACCCUAGAAAUUGGGAUGGACUUGAUCCAAAGAAGAUUGAUAUCUUGCUGCAAAAGGGUCCUAAAAGAGAAGAUAUUGAGUAUGGUCCUUAUGACAAGUUGUCUAGAAGGUUUUCUGCAUCAUCAUUUAGUAGAAUUCUCUCAAAUGGAGAAGAGUUUGACAGAGAGUGGCUUGUGUACAACAGCGGCGUCGAUAAAGCAUUUUGUUUUUGUUGCAAAUUAUUAAAAAGAGGGCAUGUGAGAGGACAGCUAGCAAAUGAGGGUUUAAGUGACUAGAUUCAUCUUGGGGCUAGACUAAAAGAGCAUGAAUCAAGUAGAGAGCAUAUCACAAAUAUGACUGCAUGGUAUGACUUCCAUGUCAGGAUGCAGAAGAAUCAAACAAUUGAUAAAGUUGCUCAGCGAGAACUUGAAAAGGAAAAGGAGCAUUGGAGAAAAGUUUUGCUCAGGAUUUUGUUGAUUGUAAAAUUUCUUGCAAGACAUAAUAUAGCAUUUCGUGGCACCAAUAGCAAGUUGUACCAAGAGGGCAAUGGGAAUUUCCUAGGACUGAUUGAAAUGUUAGCUGAAUUUGACCAGUUAUCAAAGAGCAUGUUGAUCGCAUCACCAAUGAAAAAAUUCGUGAUCACGCUACUGCCAUCAGGUCAAGAAUCAUUGAAAAGGUAA
rnacentral:rRNA from 1 species